UACAAGUGAGUCCUGUUCAGCGUGGGAGGAAAUAACACAAGAGGCAAAGAUCACUCGGGACCACCUUGUAUAUUGGCUACCACAGAACCCAACACAAGCAAGAUGGAGUCUUGCUCUGUCUCCCAGGCUGGAGUGCAGUGGUGUAAUCUCGGCUCACUGCAACCUCUGCCUCCCGGGUUCAAGUGAUUCUCCUGCCUCAGCCUCGGAGUAGCUGGGACCACAGAUGGAGUCUCGCUCUGUUGUCCAGGCUGGAGUGCAGUGGGGCGAUCUCGGCUCACUGCAACCUCUGCCUCCUGGGUUCAAGUGAUUCUCCUGCCUCAGCCUCCCAAGUAGCGGGGACUACAGCACUGCAAUGAAUGCUGCUGCACACGCUGUUGAGCUCGUGGACACUUUCCUGCUGGGUGAGGACCCGAACGUGAAAUUGCUGGGUCAUGGAUUCAAGUGCUACACAUAUUUUUGACCACAUUACUGUGACUCAGGAAGCCCAGGAACAGAAUUCUAGGCACCAGAACCAUACAUGUUACAGCCUCUGAGCUUUAUGGCCUCUGAGCCAUUUGUCCAGCCACAUCAUUUGCAGAUGAGAUCCUGAGACUCAGGCUGGAAAAGUGACCGGGGAAAAGUCACACAAGUCAGAGGCAGAGCUGGAGUUUCCUCAUUUCCAGGCCCGUAUAGAUCAAGACGGACGUUGGUCAAACACCUCCUAGUACUCACAUGAAGAAGCUCUCCUUUCUGCUGUAGGAAUGAUCACACACCAUUCCAAUCUGGAUACCAAAUGUCAUUGUUUAUUAAAUGUGUGCAGUGUGCCAG
rnacentral:lncRNA from 1 species